rnacentral:lncRNA from 1 species
AUGAAUGUUAUAACCAACCGUCUUGCUCUGCUUCUCAGCCUCCUUCUGUCAAGAGGAAGAAAAUCAACCCGUCCUUCAUCUCGACCAUCUACACGGAGGUUCAAGAAGCCCCUUCCAAACCCAGGCGUCCUCAAAUGCAGCGUCCAUCUUCACCUAAUCCUGGGCAUCUGUAUUCAUAGCUUCUGCAGCCCCUCGCUGCAGGACACCACCUUCCUUUCUUUAAAGGCCUUUUCCCCAUGGAGCGAGCUCCUUGUUGAUGGACAGACCUUCGCCUGUGCGGAUAAACACAGCUUUGAUCAGUGCUGCUUGGAUGCACAAGACUUUGGUUUUUUUUUCCUCAUUGCACUCAGAGCGGAAAUAUCCCAAUAACAGCGUCUUCAUUCAUAUCGUGCAGUCCCAGGCCAAACCAUGAAGGCUCAUUGAAAACAAAUAAACUAAGGGAGCAGAGAACAUACCUGAACUUGUCUUUCAUUGGGAAAGAUUGUUUGAGAAGGUUUGAUAUGGAAAGAUGGUUGAUUUGGGGGUAUUUAUUUUGUUAAUUGCAUCUGGUUCAACACUCCUGUGCCAUUUGCACACACACGUAUAUGGAUUUAACUGUAAGCAAUAGGCAUUGUGGGUUAAUUACCUUAUUUAUAGCUUUAAAAUAUAGCUAAGCAGGACAGCUGCAGGGUGUAACUCUCACCUUAAUGCUAGUGUAAAUCGGGGGUAACUCCACUGAAAUCAACUGGGCCAGACACACUUGUGUAAAUCAAGGGAGCUCCAAGUUACAGUUGUGUCAAACCAGGGUAAGUGAGAGGAGAUUCAGCCCCUGCUCUUCAGGGAGGUGUCUCAGGGGCAGGGAACGGCACUGGAAUUUGAUGUUCUAAGUUUUGGUGACUGAGUUUUAUAAGAGCCCAGCCCCAGCUCUCACGUCAUUCUGAGGAAGUUGAUGACUAUUACCAAUUGUUUUGUUUUAUACAAGGAGUGCCCAGUGUCUUGUUAGAGUGACCAAGAGUCAAACUGACUAGAAACAAAAGUGAAAUGGACCACCAGGUUUGUCCUGACUGAGAGAAAUGCAAACCGGCAGAAUAGAGAGAAUCAAGAAGUUUUGAACCUUCCCGUGACUUCCCACACUUGUUGGGGUGAUGGCUUUGGGCUGCUCUUAAUGAUCUGAAUCCUGGGUCAGGAUAUUCCCCUCCAGUUGCACCCUGUGACGCAUGAAUUAGAAUCACUAACAGGAAGCUGUAUUGAGAGCCCUGAGCGAGGACUUUCCAUGCCCGCUACAAGAAGAAAGUUCAGCAGGCCUGGGGAAUUGUAGUGUCCUGGUGCUCUGCAGAAUUUGUGUGUAUAGAAUUUCCAGCCCAGAUCCUAAACUGGUAUAACCUGGCACAGCUCUACUGACGUUAAUGGAGCUAUGCUGAUUUAGGACAGAGCUUUAGCUGGUAUAAUGUAUUUAAAGAUGUAGCUGUGGGAGGA